rnacentral:tRNA from 2 species
GCCGGCUUAGCUCAGUUGGUAGAGCAGUUGACUUGUAAUCAGCAGGUCGUCGGUUCGACUCCGACAGCCGGCUCCA